UCCUCAUAUGACAGGGAAUUCUUUCUAUGC
rnacentral:piRNA from 1 species